UACGUAGGGUGCGAGCGUUAAUCGGAAUUACUGGGCGUAAAGUGUGCGCAGGCGGCCGCGCAAGUCGAGUGUGAAAUCCCCGAGCUUAACUUGGGAACUGCGCUCGAAACUACGUGGCUGGAGUGUGGCAGAGGAAGGUGGAAUUCCACGUGUAGCGGUGAAAUGCGUAGAGAUGUGGAGGAACACCGAUGGCGAAGGCAGCCUUCUGGGCCAACACUGACGCUCAUGCACGAAAGCGUGGGGAGCAAACAGG
rnacentral:rRNA from 1 species